GCCAGCUUAUCUAUCCACCCUUGCUGUGAAACACCCACCUCAGGGCUCAUCCAUAUCCAGGUCUUCUUGCAUGCAGGUGUACACAAAGAUGGAGGCUGGAUGGAGGCUAGUGCCGUCUUUGGAGAGCAAGGAUACAUGUCGGUAGCCUAGAAACAGGCAGAAGAAUUGGAUCAGGAAGGGAGCCACAGUUGGGAUAUUGGCCAAGAGUCUAAGGUUUGUCUCACCAUGUUUCAUGCAGGUCCAAGGCAGGGUGUAUUGGCCUAUAAAGUUAUUUCGGGAUGUCCUGCUAUAAUCCUUUACCACAAAACGCAGCAUAGCAAGUUCAGGCACCUGGAUCUGGAAAUAGAAUGUCUCCCCCCAGUAUGGAUUAAUACCUGAAAUGGAGAGAGGAAUAAAGAAACAGACUGACCGUCUUCAUUAGGCCCAUAUGCAAUUGCUUUCCUUGCAUAUCCCUGCAUUCUCAUUUAGUCUGGAUGCCAGUCACUAUUUUACAAGUGAAGACACAGGUGUGAUAUACAUACAGAAGCAGGGGCUAAAGAAAUGGCCCAGAAGUUAAAAGCACUUGCUCCUUUUCCAGAGGGCCUGAGUUUGGUUCCCAAAACCCAUGUCUGAUGGAUGAAUCACAGCUGCCUAUAACCCGGUCCAGGGAAUCUGAUGCCCUCUUUUGUUCUGUGCACACACAGGUAGGUGGUGCACACACAUCCACAUAAAUAAAAAGAAAUCUUUACAAAUUAAAAGCAUAAGAA
rnacentral:lncRNA from 1 species